rnacentral:piRNA from 1 species
UAUGAUGAAACGUUUCAGUGC